rnacentral:rRNA from 1 species
UUGUAGUCUGCAACCCGACUACAUGAAGCUGGAAUCGCUAGUAAUCGCGGAUCAGAAUGCCGCGGUGAAUACGUUCCCGGGUCUUGUACACACCGCCCGUCACACCAUGGGAGUCGGAAAUGCCCGAAGUCUGUGACCCCAACCUUAGGGGAGGGAGCAGCCGAAGGCAGGUCGGAUGACUGGGGGUGAAGUCGUAACAAGGUAUC